rnacentral:rRNA from 1 species
AUGAGUGAGCAGAGCGAUGAUGAGGAGUACGGUUCACAGGGGAGUGAGGAAUCCGAGGACAGCGCAGAUCAGGUGCCAAUGGAAACACAGCUAGUUCAACGUACAUUCGACAGCCAACACCGUUCGGUUGUGCGAAUACUCGUCAGAGGUGAUGGAAACAAGAACUCAAUGUGCAGUGGUUGUGUUGCCCACAACAAUGGAGCAGCAUGUUCAGUGCUUACCACCUAUCACAUUUUCAAGCGAUUCAGUCAGGACAAUAUGCAGGUGUCGGUUCUCUUCCAUGGUAUGGAUAAGGAGGUUCCUGCUAAAGUGUUAAUUGCAGAACCCGAUAAGGAUCUUGCUGUUCUUCUUGUCCCUGAGGCUGUGCCCCUCUUUCCUCCUGUCGAGUUCUCCGAUGAGGUCGAUUUAUCUGGGAGAUAUGUUGUUAUGAUGGGAUUCUUUGGCCUUGACUGUCACUCUAUGGUCGUCGAACCAGGCGCAUCAAUUGGCCGUAUAAUGAGUGAACCUUUUAUUUACAAAGGUGUACCCUCCUUCGAGUGCUUCUACGCCAAUCACACGAUAGAGGUUGGCACGUCAGGAGGACCGGUCUUCCUGGAUGAGAAGGUUGUGGGGGUUAAUAUGGAAGCUGACAUUGGGAAGGUCUCUGCUAUCUCCAUGAACACAGUAAAAUGGGUGCUAAAGAGCCGGAUUGCUGGUGACAAUGUUCAGGACCUAACAAUCCCGGCAAUGCUUCAACAAAUUGCAAGCCAAUCCUAG